rfam:Xenopus tropicalis strain Nigerian Chr04_contig_3345, whole genome shotgun sequence.
UGCUGCUGUCCUUCAUUCCACCGGAUCCUGUGUAAAUAUAAUCCAGAUUCCCAGUGGCAUGAAGUGCAUUAGCUG